rnacentral:rRNA from 1 species
UGGGGAAUAUUGCACAAUGGGCGCAAGCCUGAUGCAGCCAUGCCGCGUGUGUGAAGAAGGCCUUCGGGUUGUAAAGUACUUUCAGCGGGGAGGAAGGGAGUAAAGUUAAUACCUUUGCUCAUUGACGUUACCCGCAGAAGAAGCACCGGCUAACUCCGUGCCAGCAGCCGCGGUAAUACGGAGGGUGCAAGCGUUAAUCGGAAUUACUGGGCGUAAAGCGCACGCAGGCGGUUUGUUAAGUCAGAUGUGAAAUCCCCGGGCUCAACCUGGGAACUGCAUCUGAUACUGGCAAGCUUGAGUCUCGUAGAGGGGGGUAGAAUUCCAGGUGUAGCGGUGAAAUGCGUAGAGAUCUGGAGGAAUACCGGUGGCGAAGGCGGCCCCCUGGACGGAGACUGACGCUCAGGUGCGAAAGCGUGGGGAGCAAACAGG